rnacentral:lncRNA from 1 species
CUCUCUUUCUUCAUCUCUCUCUAUCAGUGGCUGAAUCUCAAUCUCCUCCCUGAACCCUGAGCCCUGAGUCCCCAUUGACUUAAGGGACUGCACCCAGAAAGUGAUUGAGUGAAUGAGGCGGCAAGGGCUUGAGGUACUAUGAAUAGGAAUGGGACAGCCUUUUGUUGAAAGCAAUGCAUCAUGCUACUCAAAAUUGCAGCUUUGUGGCUUUUUAUUUUACCUUUUUUGCUUUACUAAACUGCAUUUUAGUCGAGUCAGAAAAAUAGCAUUAAACAAUGAUCUACUCCCACAUAGGCAUUGAUAAGCUUGACAAGAAAUAAAACAAAUAUACCUUUCCUACAUGGCUAUUUCCUUUGUUGAUUAAGGCUGUUUUCAUAUAUAAUAUAUAAUAUACCUACACAAGAUCUUCUUUUUUGGAGCGUCAAUACUGAUAACACCCUCCAUGUUUUUUGUUUGUUAUUUUGCUCAGUUCACUUCCAUUUUAUAGCAGCUGUCAUCUGGUUGCCCCGGGAGAUUCCUUUCAAACUUCACAAUGCAAUGAACUAUGGUUGAUUAACUUACACAAAGUCUGCAGAUAUGCCCACUCACAGGAAGGGUGCAUAAAGGGGCUCAAAAAGUCAGCAAGAGAUCCCUCAAACACUUUGUGAUUAGACAGUGGGACAGCCCUAAACCCUCACGGAGUGUGGACAUUGGGAUUGGGCCAGUGUCUCCUCUGUCCAUCUCUCUCCUCUGUCCAUCUCCCUCUCUUCCCUCUCUAAACCCAGCUCAGUCUCAGCAGAUGACUGUCUAACAUCAGUCCGGUCCUGCUGAAGGUUUCUGCCUGUUAAAGGAAGUUCUUCCUCUCCACUGUAACUUGAUAAAUGCUACAAAGUCUGGUGAAACCAAAUUACAGCUGAAGUUACAAACCAACAUUUUUCAACCUAUGGUUUAGUGUUGACUUACCCUAAUACAGACAGCUCUUCUUAGUGGCAGCAGCCUCUCCCUUCCUCCCUCCCUUCUCUCCUUUCCUUUUCCCCUGGUGGGCGUGAGUGAGGUGUGUGCAGCACAGACAGGUGCAGGCAAUUGGUAAUCACCAGACUCUCCAACCUCUGCCAUAAAACCAGAUCGCAGCCACAACUCAGAUCUAGAAUGCUGUAAAAACACAGUUAGUGAAAUGAAUUUUGAUCAAACUUGCUGCCUUUUUUGUUCUACCCUGGAUGCUGAUCCUUUGUUUGUUUGUUUGUUUGUUUUUUAUUAAAGUUUCCAGCCCAUCCUUCCUGCUUCAUUCUGCUCACCUGCUGGACUUCUAAAUCACUCAGCCAUGCCACACGCAUCCUCAGCCUGCCGUCCCUUACCCUCUCCCUAAACUGAUCCUGCACUAAGACUCUCUACUUGCUCUCUGGGUCGGUUUGUUGAAGCCAAGUUAAUUAUUUGUUUUGUAGAGUGUUUUGUUUUCUUUUCAGCUUGUUUCCUGGUUAUUUAAUUUUCUGAAUUUGGUUUUUUAUCUGG